rnacentral:rRNA from 1 species
ACUCCUACGGGAGGCAGCAGUGGGAAGUAUUGCAUCAAUGGCAGGCAAGCCAUGCAUGCAGCCAUGCCGCGUGUGUGAAGAAGGCCUUCGGGUUGUAAAGCACUUUCAGUCGUGAGGAAGGUAGUGUAGUUAAUAGCUGCAUUAUUUGACGUUAGCGACAGAAGAAGCACCGGCUAACUCCGUGCCAGCAGCCGCGGUAAUACGGAGGGUGCGAGCGUUAAUCGGAAUUACUGGGCGUAAAGCGCAUGCAGGUGGUUUGUUAAGUCAGAUGUGAAAGCCC